rnacentral:rRNA from 1 species
UGGGGAAUAUUGGGCAAUGGGCGAAAGCCUGACCCAGCGACGCCGCGUGGGUGAUGAAGGCCUUCGGGUCGUAAAACCCUGUCAUGUGGGAAGAAUUGUCUCGUAGAUAAUACCUGCGAGAAUUGACGGUACCACAGGAGGAAGCACCGGCUAACUCCGUGCCAGCAGCCGCGGUAAUACGGAGGGUGCAAGCGUUGUUCGGAAUCACUGGGCGUAAAGGGCGCGUAGGCGGUUGUGUAAGUCAGAUGUGAAAUACUUCAGCUUAACUGAAGAACUGCAUUUGAUACUGCAUAACUAGAGUACAGGAGAGGGAAAUGGAAUUCCCGGUGUAGAGGUGAAAUUCGUAGAUAUCGGGAGGAACACCAGUGGCGAAGGCGAUUUCCUGGCCUGAUACUGACGCUGAGGCGCGAAAGCGUGGGGAGCAAACA